AGCCUGCCCUUCCCCCGGCCCGGCGCUGCCCCUGUCCCGCCCUCCGCCGCCGCCUCAGCCCGCUGCGGCCCGGGCGCUGCCCUGUCAUGGCGGGGGGGGGGCGAUGGUGGUGGUGGUGGGGCUCGUCCCCCACCGACCGCCGCUGCCGGAGGAGCCGCGCCGCGGCUUUGGCCUCUUGGGAGCCUCUCCCUUCGGCAACGCGAAGGAAAAUGUCCGCCCCCGCGCCGCCCCCAGCCACUCGCAGGCGGUCAGCUCUUCUGGUAAGUGCAUGGCAAUUACCCCCUUGCAGAAGUAACAUCGGGCUGAUGGCAGCUGUCAGCUCCUCUCCUGUCGCUGGAUAAAGGUUUCGUGCUUUGUCCAUUUGUCAGUCCUGGGGUGACUCGGGCCAUCGACAGAGUGCCAGCACAGGUUGCUGCGUUGGAGGGAUGGAGAGCAGGGUCUGUGCUCGUCCCUUGUCCCCACAAAGGUAGGAAGGAAGGAAAAACCAAAGGUAUUCAACUCUUCUUGAGGAAAAGCAACAACAACCCUCAUGUGCCGAUGACAUCAGUGGCAACAGGAUGGCAGUGGAGAUUCCUGAAGGCCACCACCUCGCAUUUAAACAGCAGAAAAGUGAAGACAUGAGGGAAAUUAAGACAGUCUUGAGAAGAGCUUUAUUUUGGACAGCAAAGGUUCAUCUCACAGACUUCUCAGAAACAGGUCUGCCAACUAUCAGGUAUGUAAUAGCCAAAACCAGUUACUGGUAAGAGGCGAUGGGACGAACCCAAGAUGUACAGAGGGCAACCAAGCCUCAUGUGCCAUGUUAACUCUUAAAACAGUGGGACAGAAGUAGGGUCUCCCCGCUGUGACAGCAGAACGCUUGCCCCUCCGCGCAACAAGCACGGUGAGAGGGACACCUAGGUUGUAACCCCUCUUCAGACAGGGCCGGUUUGCUGAAGCUCUGCAGGCUCGAUAGUCAAGUGAAAUCCUGUAAGCCAUCACCUCCACGCCACGCCACUGUUUCAUAAGGCAUUUAUUCAUUUCUAACAACUCCCUGGCACAUUCUGCUCUUCACGUGUCAGGACUUUGGGUCUGCACCAUCAUUCCUACACCAAGAUUAGUGUUCUGAGAGUCUUAAUUCCCCACUAAAACCAACUGGAAGAGUGACAGUUUGCCAGGGCAGGGAUGGCACUACCUAAGGUUUCUGUCAUUUGAAGUUGCCGUUACCUUGACCGAAUUCACCACCACAUAAGCUGGCUUUGCGCCGGAGGAACAGACGCAGAUCGUGGCCCUUUGCACUGAAGGGACAGCUGCACGUGUGCAUGUGGAGAAACUUUCAAGAACCAAAGUGGCUCUAUAGAGAAGGACAGGCGAGUGACCAGAUUAUGGUGACGGACGUGUGUUUGCAAAACUGUUGCACUUACCAGAGACCUGAAAGCCACAAAUACAGCCCCAGGCACUCCAAGGGGACGCAUCGGUGACGGAGGGACGGGCGCUUUCUCUCCCCCUACCACUUCACUAAGGAAAACAAGGUGGUGGAAAUAACAGAUGACCCCGAUGACUCUCACUGUAAGAAGAGUCAAGUCCUCCCCUUGGCAUGAAAGCUAGAGAGGAGCAGCUACCAGGGAAGUGCUGGAGACACGACUGCAUGGGAGUCAAGGGUAAUGAGGAAGGCACAGAGAAGAUCAAAUAUCCAUAGCUCUAGAUGAUGAAGUAUUUUAAAAGUACCCGUUGAUACUGCUCACCUUUAUAUCUUGCACAAUAUAGAUGCUAUAUAAAUUGUAUCCUGUCCCCAAAUUCCUCCUAACUUCCUGUACCGGCAUUACCUCCAAGCAAUUUUAGUUCCUUUCUAUGAAAAAGCAGCAAUGCAGCCCCGUCACUGUGAACUUCCCGUUUUACACACUAAACUCAUUGCCCUGCAUUGCUUCGAUACAGUAUUAUCUGAAUGUAUACAUUAAAAUCCCUGA